rnacentral:rRNA from 1 species
AUUGAACGCUGGCGGCAGGCCUAACACAUGCAAGUCGAGCGAGCGGCGGACGGGUGAGUAAUGUCUGGGAAACUGCCCGAUGGAGUGGGAUAACUACUGGAAACGGUAGCUAAUACCGCAUACCAUCAGAUGUGCCCAGAUGGGAUUAGCUGGUAGGUGGGGUAACGGCUCACCCAGGCGACGAUGCCUAGGGGUUCUGAGAGGAUGACCAGCCACACUGGAACUGAGACACGGGCCAGACUCCUACGGGAGGCAGCAGUGGGGAAUAUUGCACAAUGGGCGCAAGCCUGAUGCAGCCAUGCCGCGUGUAUGAAGAAGGCCUUCGGGUUGUAAAGUACUUUCAGCGGGGAGGCGUUACCCACAGAAGAAGCACCGGCUAACUCCGUGCCAGUAGCCGCGGUAAUUC